rnacentral:rRNA from 1 species
UACGGAGGAUGCGAGCGUUAUCCGGAUUUAUUGGGUUUAAAGGGUGCGUAGGCGGACUGUCAAGUCAGCGGUAAAAUACGGGGGCUCAGCCUCCGCCCGCCGUUGAAACUGACGGUCUUGAGUGGGCGAGAAGUAUGCGGAAUGCGUGGUGUAGCGGUGAAAUGCAUAGAUAUCACGCAGAACUCCGAUUGCGAAGGCAGCAUACCGGCGCCCAACUGACGCUGAAGCACGAAAGCGUGGGUAUCGAACAGG